GUCAAAUACACUGUUUAUAGUCAUUUGUAAGAAGUGUGUUGGCUUUUCUAAAAAUGCAACCAUUCUGAGUAGUGAGGACCUGAUGUGCAUACGCAGUGGGCUCUAAGCACACAUCCAGUACUUCUCUUAGGAAAGCAAUGAAUCCAAGGCUUUCCUAUAAGGUUUUUACUUGGUCAGUGCAACAGAAGUGUAGUCUAGGUCCUAUUUUUAUAGCUAUUUAGCUGCUUGAGGCAUUUAAACCCUGCAAGGAAAAUAUUUC